rnacentral:rRNA from 1 species
AUGCACGGCAUCAAACAAAUAUCUCCGGCCUUCCCUCGUUUGUUAUCUCGGUCUCUCCUCGUGAGUCGUAACCGACCGACAGAGGGAGCGCCGGCAGGCGAGAUGUCCACGCAGGAAACGAAGGGCGCGCAGUGCAAGGGGGCCGCCAGGGCGACGGUGCGGCCGUGCCCGUCGUUCUCCGCGCUCCCCGACGUUCUCCUUCUCAUCGUCUACCGGUUUCUGGCCGAGUCCCCGAGCAGUCGCAUGCGCUUCUCCACCGUCUGCAGGUCCUGGCGCGCCGCCGUCGCCGCGGAGCAGCGGGUACCCGCACUGCCUUGGUUGCUGCUCUCGCCGCGCGACGCUGGAGACAGGACGUGGCGCGCGCACUGCCCUGAGGACGGCGCCGCGAUGCGCUUCCAGCACUGCAGGGACAUUGGGACGUCCCUCGUCGGUGGUUACGACGGCGGCUGGGUCGUCUUCUCCCAGCAGCCGCCUCUCAGGAUCGUCAACCUCUUCACCGGUGCCGAGGUGGCGCUCUCUGAGAAACAGAAGAGGAUCACCUGCCUGUUCCAUGGGCGUGGUGACGCCUACGGCCCGGUCGUCUUGAAAAUCGUCUUCUCCAAGUCGCCUACCUCGGACGGCUGCAUCAUGGCCGCCAUGACCCGUAACUGCGGAAUCGCGGUUUGUAGGGUUGAUUGCCCACGUGGUGGGUGGACCAUAUAUGGAUGUCAUAUGUCGGGAUUCAUGGACAUUGCCUUUUGUAAUGGUGAGCUCUAUGGCAUUCGACCGGGUUACAAUGAUCUCGUCAAAUUUGAGAUCCGUGUGAAGAAGGAUGUUGCUCCAGUGGUCACGGAAAAGUACCGGCUAAACAUGCUUAGGGUAGACCGUCCAUCAGCAUGGAGCACUUGCGAUGAGUACACAUGUUACAUCGUGGAUCUGCAUGGAAAGUGUACGAUUGUGGUCAUUAACCGGCGGUGCUUUUCCCCCAGGCCUUUCUUUAGGAUGUUCCGGCUCAACCCUACCACUUGGUCUGAGGUGACCAGCUUGGGCGACCAUGCCUUAUUCUUGGGACAGAAAUUUUCCAAGGUGGUGCACAUGCCAGCAGAUAGGCUUGGCGACAUAGAGAGAAAUCACAUCUACUACUGCAACCACCGCCACCUACAUCUAUGCAAUACAGUCAAUGGUGAUGAGGUAUUCUUGACGAUCUCACAAAGCGACGGCGACCUUAAGUAUCACAAAGAACACUACAACAAGAGAAUUGCCGACAAUUUCAACAUCAGGUCGGUAGGUUACUUCAUGGAAGAUCAUCGAUAUGAUAGCAUGUGGCUUCUUCCUCCUGAUAUCUAG